rnacentral:snoRNA from 1 species
UUAAUUAUGCCUUUACUCUGUUUUCUGAGUUGAGUUAUUUUUGCUUGUGUAUUUGAAAGUCAAUAGAAGAAAAAUGCCUCUUCUUUCAGCAGCAAGAUCCGUUCUUGUUAGCUUUGUUCUGGAGGCACAUAU